GGCGCCAUCGCCAAGUGGUAAGGCCGUAGCCUGCAAAGCUAUUAUCCCCAGUUCGAAUCUGGGUGGCGCCU
rnacentral:tRNA from 1 species